rnacentral:rRNA from 1 species
GGCGAACGGGUGAGUAACACGUGAGUAACCUGCCCCCUUCUUCUGGAUAACCUCAUGAAAGUGGGGCUAAUACGGGAUAUUCUGGUCUGGUCGCAUGGCUGGGCUGGGAAAGAUGCGCCUUUUGGGUGUUUUUGGUGGGGGAUGGGCUCGCGGCCUAUCAGCUUGUUGGUGGGGUGAUGGCCUACCAAGGCGGUGACGGGUAGCCGGUCUGAGAGGGUGGACGGCCACACUGGGACUGAGACACGGCCCACACUCCUACGGGAGGCAGCAGUGGGGAAUAUUGCACAAUGGGCGCAAGCCUGAUGCAGCGACGCCGCGUGAGGGAUGGAGGCCUUCGGGUUGUGAACCUCUUUCGCCAGUGAAGCAAGCCUGCUCCUGUGUGGGUGGGUUGACGGUAGCUGGAUAAGAAGCGCCGGCUAACUACGUGCCAGCAGCCGCGGUAAUACGUAGGGCGCGAGCGUUGUCCGGAAUUAUUGGGCGUAAAGAGCUCGUAAGCGGCUGGUCGCGUCUGUCGUGAAAUCCUCUGGCUUAACUGGGGGCUUGCGGUGGAGUACGGGCCGGCUUGAGUGCGGUAGGGGAGACUGGAAUUCCUGGUGUAUCGGUGGAAUGCGCAGAUAUCAGGAGGAACACCGGUGGCGAAGGCGGGUCUCUGGGGCUCUACUGACUCUGAGGAGCGAAAGCGUGGGGAGCGAACAGGAUUAGAUACCCUGAGUAGCCCACGCCGUACACGUUGGGCACUAGGUGUGGGGGU